UCUUAAGCAUUUUCGAAGAUUGUGAUUCUUUAAGGAAAUCUGAUUUUUUUGAAUUUCUUCACCAGUUUGUAAAACAAAUUUUGAAAAACUAUCCUGGAUAAGCUUUAGCACUUUCACCGAGGGGGGAAAAAGGGCCAAGAAAAGCCAACUAGAGCAGCUUGAACCAGUUGUGGCUUAAAGAUGAGCAAAGAUGGCUUUGAAAUUACCUGCCCACAAAGAGAAGCUUGGUAAAACUAUCCUGGAUACACACAGAUUUCAAUCAAUGGUGAUAUGAGACCCUAACUCCAUUAAAAAUCACAAUACUAGCACACAUGAUUUGGUUCUUCAUCUUCUUUUUAUCAGAAAAUUACUCUGCUGUGAUACCUUGUAGUGCUAUAUAUCUUCCAUUCUAUCAUCUUAUUAUAGCCGUCUAAGAAGAGUUUUCUUCAAACUACUCCAGAUAUUUGGUCAAGCUGAUAGAUUAAAUAAUUGAAUUACAGAAAAGGACAGGUAGCUGUUAAGGAAAUAGGACAUGGGAUGUCAAGUUCAUUCCUCGAAAUUGCACGUCAUUUUUUUUUGCAUUACAGUGGAAGAGAAGCAGAAAUACGCCAGGGCAGUGAAUGGAAGUGAAGGGACAGUUUCGGAAAAGUAAGUUCUGCACUGGUCACACCGCCUCACUCUAGGGGUGUUUCCAGAAGAUUUAAGAAGGAUUAAUCUGUGUCCAGAAAAUCCAAAUGAUUUCAGAGAGAUCUUCCACGAAUACGCAGUGAGAUUAAAGUUUGUGAUGGAUGU